rnacentral:rRNA from 1 species
AUUUGCUAAAGAAUUUCGGUUAUAGAUGAGUAUGCGCAGGAUUAGCUAGUUGGUUGAGGUAACGGCUCACCAAGGCAACGAUCCUUAGGGGAACUGAGAGGUUUAUCCCCCACACUGGUACUGAGACACGGACCAGACUCCUACGGGAGGCAGCAGUGAGGAAUAUUGGUCAAUGGGCGAGAGCCUGAACCAGCCAAAUCGCGUGAAGGAUGAAGGUAUUAUGUAUUGUAAACUUCUUUUGUAUGGGAAUAACAACUCUCACGUGUGAGAGCCUGUAUGUACCAUACGAAUAAGCAUCGGCUAACUCCGUGCCAGCAGCCGCGGUAAUACGGAGGAUGCGAGCGUUAUCCGGAUUUAUUGGGUUUAAAGGGUGCGUAGGUGGGUUUGUAAGUCAGUGGUGAAAUCCCGACGCUUAACGUUGGAACUGCCAUUGAAACUGCAGAUCUUGAGAGUGGACGAGGUAGGCGGAAUUCGUAGUGUAGCGGUGAAAUGCAUAGAUAUUACGAAGAACCCCGAUAGCGCAGGCAGCUUACCAGACCAUAUCUGACACUGAAGCACGAAAGUGUGGGUAUCAAACAGGAUUAGAUACCCUGGUAGUCCACACAGUAAACGAUGAUAACUAACUGUUUGCGAUACACAGUAAGCGGUACAGCGAAAGCGUUAAGUUAUCCACCUGGGG